AAAAUGUAAGAUAACGUAUUGUGUAGCUCCGAAAAAUUUAAUCGAGAUCCGAGAUGCAUCGGUUGCAGUUUUUGUAUAAUUAAUUAUAUAGGAGAUGAUCAUGAACUUGACUAGAUCUCUAUGAUGUGAUUAUGGAUGUAUCUGGAUAUUUUUGAGAUGAUGUGAUGAAAUUUUUGUGGGUCUAGUUUAAGCAAUUAUUUGUUAUUUAGUUUUCGAUAUUUGUGAAUAGGAUCUG
rnacentral:lncRNA from 1 species